AGAUACUAGGACUUCUGCCUGCCGCAGGCAAUUAGGUGAAAUAAAGACUACAGGAUUUAAAGAGAUUGGCACUUCCAAGUAUGAAGACUUGAAGGAACUAGGGUGGGUUUGUGUACUGCAGUUGAGUUAAAAGGAGCAGAUGAUGCACAUCUUGUACUGAUGUUCUUGCUAGAGGAAUGUGCUGAAACAGAUACUCUAGAAGGGUGCUAGAGAUAUAAGGUCCUGCAUCAGAAGCCUAAUUUUAAAAGCUUGUCAUGCAGAAUUGGUAAAAGACAAAAGUGGAGUCUCUUUGAAAGGAGGAAAUGCAGGUGGUGACAACAUGCUCUGGCCCAUAGUUCAUCUUUGCUGUCCUGGGAACGCUGU
rnacentral:lncRNA from 1 species